CACACCAGCUCAACUCACGUGCACGUCUUUGGGAUGGGGCUUAGAAACCAGAGAAAAUCCACACGGACUUGGGGAGAAGGUGCAAACUCCACACAGACAGUGGCCUGGCGGGGAAUCACAUUUUCUCAUCAAUGUUAUAAUGAAACGAUGUAGAAGGGAACGUUAGUCAAGGUCCAGCUGAACUACAUCAGUGCCAGGCAUUCAUAGGAAACACCUUUUGAGCACCUAAGAUGAGGCCUAAUAAAACCUGGUCCCUGACCUCCUGGACACUAGCAGUCGAGUGAGAGAGACAGCCAAGCAAAUCAAUGACUACCAUACGAAGCGACAAGUGCCAGCGGGAGGCAGGCAAGUCUCGGAGGGACUGACUUCUAAGCUGUCAGCAGCAACAGCUCUGACUCAACUCCAAUUCCCAGCACUCAGAGCAAUGAGACAGAGAGAGGAGGUCUUCCUCCAUCCAAGGGCACUUGUGGAGCCAAGCCCAUUAUAGGCUGCCUGCCACGACCGGCGAGGGCGGCGAGAGGAAGGCGAGGAGCCCAGGGCUCUCCCAGGGGGCGAGGCCACACUCCUCUACCAGCUCCCCAAGGCGACGCCUCCACAGGGCACACCAAGCACCGCAAGUCUCCCACCUUCCCGGCGGCGAUGGAACACACCCUGUGGGAUCCACUCCCCACCCGGGCCCCACAGGAGAUCUACAAACAGGAAAGCAAGGACCUCAGCUGGUUGUGGAUUCCUGAAGAACCUGGCCACUAGCUGUCCUUAAUUGGGUUGUCACAGCUUUUGAUUACCUCACAGAACGUGGGAGCACUAGAGAUGCCCUAAGGGAUCUUCUGUUUUCCAGACACACUCUUUCUGACAUCCGCUGCGUGGGAGCAGCCCGACUUUCCCUUGGUAGUCAGGUCAAUCACUCUGCCAGCAGCUCCAGGAUGAUGGCGAGUGUGGUGAGACCAGUGAAUUCCAUGAGCAUGGCCUAUCAACUUCCUUGACCAGAAGUGAUGUCUGUGUGAAAUACCAUUACAGUGGAUAAGGUAUUCCAUAAGUCCAUGGAUGACAGUUUUGGCAGAAGCACUGCAUGCAGAAAAGAUCCAAGACACAAAAUAUUUGAGAAAUGCCAAUCAAGGAAAAUGACCACAUUUCCCAGUAAGUUGGGCAUUUCGAUGCAAGCGUCAACAACUGUUUAUCAACACAAGCCAUUGCAUAUGUGGCAGUCGCUUUGGCUUAAUGAAGAUGAGAAAGCACUGCAUGCAAAAACAAGCUGAGAGCUGCCAAAGCCAUUCACUAAGCUCCCAGACACUGCCAAAGCCAGAGCCAAUGUUCGUGCUGCCGAAGUCUCUAUUUUGGCUUUGAUCAUUUGGCUUCUCAAGUACGGAAACUCUAUCUUCAGAGAGCAACAAAAUCUUCCAUUUCCUAAUGGGAGAAGGAAGAAAGCGCUAUUAAACUCAAGACACUGUGGCUGAUGAGCUUGGUGUUGAAGCAUAACUGAAAAACUCAUAAUUUGUGGCGUAACCUUAAAAAAGGAUUAAGCUUUACCUUUUGUAUAUACUCUACUUUCAAUAAAAAAUGCCUUCACUAUAAAAUUUCAUGCAGUCCAUCAAAUCUGCACGCACCAGAUUAAUUUCUGCUGAAUUGUAUAACU